rnacentral:rRNA from 1 species
UACGUAGGGGGCUAGCGUUAUCCGGAAUUACUGGGCGUAAAGGGUGCGUAGGCGGUCUUUCAAGCCAGAAGUGAAAGGCUACGGCUCAACCGUAGUAAGCUUUUGGAACUGUAAGACUUGAGUGCAGGAGAGGAGAGUGGAAUUCCUAGUGUAGCGGUGAAAUGCGCAGAUAUCAGGAGGAAUACCAGAGGCGAAGGCGACUCCCUGGGCCUCUACUGACGCUGAGGCGCGAAAGCGUGGGAAGCAAACAGGAUUAGAUACCCGGGUAGUCCCU